rnacentral:lncRNA from 1 species
UGUUGCCAAAGCUGUCCGUCCCUGGGAGAGGGAUCCCUCCAUACUGUGGUUCUCCCCAAGAUUUCUUCUUUUCCCACUGGGUUUUUGGAGUUUUUUCUUGCCGGAUGUGAGGGUCGAAGGCGGUGGUUGCUUCGUUCUGUCUCGUUACUGUAAAUAUUGACAUAUUACCAUUAUGCUUAUUCACUGUUUUUACUUUUACCGACAAAUGUAACAUCUUGAAGCCCUCUGAGGCAACUGUUGUUGUGAUACUGGGCUAUACAAAAAUAAAUUGAUUGAUUGAUUGAUUGAUUGAGAGAGAGGGAGAGAGAGAGAGAGAGAGGGGGAGAGAGAGAGGGAGAGAGAGAGAGAGCAGAGUGAACGGAGUGGAGCCGUUCGAGCAGCCGUCUCACACACACACACACACACACACACACACACACACUUCACAGCAGGCUGAUUAACAAACAGACCUGAAACAUAACAGUGAGUCCAAACCCGACAUUUAUUUUACCAAGAAGAUUUUAUAUUUUAUAUUUAUCACAUAAAAACAUCGUCAAAGAGGACAAAGUCUCCCCUGUGACCCUCAGCGUCCCCCUAACGGGGGCCCAGACCACAGGUUUGCUGUCCUGAAACACCGGACUCCAGGUCCGGUCCUCUGACAGGGCGCACCGUCCCGGUCCCGGUCCCGUCCCGGUCCUGUCCACAGCCAAGAGACACCACGACAAACCGCGAGCCGCUUCCUCGUUCCUCAACCGAACACUGCAGAAAUCAAGCGCUUCGUCCAUCCGUACGUCCCGGAAGGGCGGGCACUGCAUUCAAACAGAAUCGAACCCGGUGUCCGUCCAGGUGCGUCCGUAUGGCGGAGCUGUCGUCACACUGACGGCGGAGUCAGACGACUGUCACCUGUUUAUUACCCAGAACGGAGAGAGCUCCGCCCACCCCGGCUGCCAGGCUGCUUAAAUGUAACGACCCGGCGAUGUGGGAGGUAAAUCCGUGUUGCUGUGCUGACCGGAACACUUUAAACACUUUUAACGGCUUUAAAAGGAUCAGCGGAGGUCUGACUGGACGGACUGGAGGACGCUGGACAGCGCGUCAUGGUCGCUCUCAGAUAGAGGUGCGUUUGUUGCGUCAUUCCUGCGGCAGGCGGUGGAGGGCGGCCAUGUUGGAUGUCCUCAUUGACGUGUGCUGACCGGACGUCCCGUCGAGCCGCCGCGUC